rnacentral:rRNA from 1 species
UACGUAGGUGGCAAGCGUUGUCCGGAAUUACUGGGUGUAAAGCGCGUGUAGGCGGCAGGCCAAGUCUGCGGUGAAAGCGCCCGGCUCAACUGGGCGAGGUCCGUGGAAACUGGUCAGCUGGAGGACGGUAGAGGCGAGUGGAAUUCCUGGUGUAGCGGUGAAAUGCGCAGAUAUCAGGAGGAACACCGGUGGCGAAGGCGGGUCUCUGGGCCGAUACUGACGCUGAGGAGCGAAAGCGUGGGGAGCGAACAGG